rnacentral:rRNA from 1 species
UACGUAGGGUGCAAGCGUUGUCCGGAAUUAUUGGGCGUAAAGGGUGCGUAGGUGGUGAUGCAAGUCUGGUGUGAAAUCUCGGGGCUCAACUCCGAAAUGGCACCAGAUACUGCGUGACUCGAGGACUGUAGAGGAGAUCGGAAUUCACGGUGUAGCAGUGAAAUGCGUAGAUAUCGUGAGGAAGACCAGUUGCGAAGGCGGAUCUCUGGGCAGUUCCUGACACUGAGGCACGAAGGCCAGGGGAGCAAACGGG